UACGAAAGGUGCAAGCGUUACUCGGAAUCACUGGGCGUAAAGCGCACGUAGGCGGACUCGCAGGUCAAUUGUGAAAUACCUGGGCUCAACCCGGGAACUGCAGUUGAAACCGCUUGUCUUGAAUACCUGAGAGGGUGGGGGAAUACCUGGUGGAGAAGUGAAAUUCGUAGAGAUCAGGUGGAACACCGGAGGCGAAGGCGCCUGCCUGGCAGUGUAUUGACGCUGAGGUGCGAAAGUGCGGGGAGCAAACAGG
rnacentral:rRNA from 2 species